AGCGAACGCUGGCGGCAGGCUUAACACAUGCAAGUCGAACGGGCACUUCGGUGUCAGUGGCAGACGGGUGAGUAACACGUGGGAACGUACCUUUUGGUUCGGAACAACUGAGGGAAACUUCAGCUAAUACCGGAUAAGCCCUUACGGGGAAAGAUUUAUCGCCGAAAGAUCGGCCCGCGUCUGAUUAGCUAGUUGGUAGGGUAAUGGCCUACCAAGGCGACGAUCAGUAGCUGGUCUGAGAGGAUGAUCAGCCACAUUGGGACUGAGACACGGCCCAAACUCCUACGGGAGGCAGCAGUGGGGAAUAUUGGACAAUGGGGGCAACCCUGAUCCAGCCAUGCCGCGUGAGUGAUGAAGGCCCUAGGGUUGUAAAGCUCUUUUGUGCGUGAAGAUAAUGACGGUACCGCAAGAAUAAGCCCCGGCUAACUUCGUGCCAGCAGCCGCAGUAA
rnacentral:rRNA from 1 species